rnacentral:SRP_RNA from 1 species
GCUGGGCGUGGUGGCGCAUGCCGGUAAUCCAAGCUACUUGGGAGGCUGAGGCAGAAGAAUUGCUUGAACCCGGGAGGCGGAGGUUGCAGUGAGUCAAGGUCGCACCACUGCACUCCAGCCUGGGUGACAGAGCAAGACUCUGUCUCAA